rnacentral:miRNA from 9 species
UCUGCUUUCAAAUGAUGUAUAGA